AGCGAGCCUGUCAAGUUCAACUUGACCAAAAAACGGUAAAAUUGCCGGAACUACCGGUUUACCGGAAUCUGG